AACGAACGCUGGCGGCAGGCUUAACACAUGCAAGUCGAACGCCCCGCAAGGGGAGUGGCAGACGGGUGAGUAACGCGUGGGAACGUGCCCUUCGCUUCGGAAUAGUCCCGGGAAACUGGGUUUAAUACCGGAUACGCCGUAUUGGGAAAGAUUUAUCGGCGAAGGAUCGGCCCGCGUUAGAUUAGGUAGUUGGCGGUGUAAUGGACCACCAAGCCUACGAUCUAUAGCUGGUCUGAGAGGAUGAUCAGCCACACUGGGACUGAGACACGGCCCAGACUCCUACGGGAGGCAGCAGUGGGGAAGCUUGGACACUGGGCGCAAGCCUGAUCCAGCCAUGCCGCGUGAGUGAAGAAGGCCUUAGGGUUGUAAAACUCUUUCGCCGGAGAAGAUAAUGACGGUAUCCGGAGAAGAAGCCCCGGCUAACUUCGUGCCAGCAGCCGCGGUAACAC
rnacentral:rRNA from 1 species